CUGGUCAACCGUCAUGGGGGCCUUUCAUCACUUGCAGGGAUCACAAAGAAGGCAAAACCCCAUCAGAUCUGCUGGGACGAGGGGAUGGCUGGUGCACAGACCGGGUAGGUGUUAGGUGUGGGCGGAGUACAAGUGGGCAAAGCAGCGGGUGCGCGCUGCCUAAGCCACCACUAGGUGUCGUCCUGCACCAGUUUGAGUACCAGUCCCUGGUGAAUGCCCUUUCAGCCCAGGAAGAUUCACAGGAGGGAACCUUUUGUCCCAGGCAGCGGCGAAAUGUUCCGGGUGACGCAGGCUGGUAAACAAGUUCAAGAGAAGCUGCGCCCAGAGCGCACGUCAAGCCUGUGCGACUGCCCCCCACUCCCAGUGCUUCAUGCCAGCGACUCGCUAAGCAGCCUUGAGGCUGUGCCGAGAAGUCUGCAUUCCCUGCCCCUGAGGAGAUCGUGAUCUAGUCGCAGCACACUUGGAUUCGGAGCUCUCCCGAAGGAUGGAGGACCAGCGAAGGCAAGCUCCAGAGGGCAGGAGUCUUUGCCUGUGUGUUUGCUGCUGUGGCCCCAAAGCCCAGGCGGCACCCGGCCCCUGGCGAUGACUCUGGGUAGUACUGGCUGGACUGUGGAUUUCAGAAUCAGGUGAGUGUCUCCUGAAAUGCAGAGCCUCAGGUCCCAGAUCAGCUCUUCUGGGGUUGAGGCUUGAGACUGUUUGCCUACCUCCUGCUCUCCAGCUGGGACAGAUGCUGGCACAUGUUGGAGAGU